GGCCUACCAUGGUGGUAACGGGUAACGGGGUGUUAGGGCACGACACCGGAGAGGGAGCCUGAGAAACGGCUACCACAUCCAAGGAUGGCUGCAGGCGCGCAAAUUACCCAAUCCCGACACGGGGAGGUAGUGACAAUAAAUAACAAUACGGGGUUCUUUCGGAUCUCGUAAUUGGAAUGAGUACAAUUUAAAUCUCUUAACGAGGAACAAUUGGAGGGCAAGUCUGGUGCCAGCAGCCGCGGUAAUUCCAGCUCCAAUAGCGUAUAUUAAAGUUGUUGCAGUUAAAAAGCUCGUAGUUGAAUUUCGGGGUUAGUAAGUUGGUCAUGCCAUUUGGUAUGUACUGGCUUUACUGAUUCCUCCUUCUUGACGAACCGUGAUGUCAUUAAUUUGGUGUUGCGGGAAAUCAGGACUGUUACUUUGAAAAAAUUAGAGUGUUUAAAGCAGGCUAACGCUUGAAUACAUUAGCAUGGAAUAAUGAAAUAGGACGUUAAUCCUAUUUUGUUGGUUUCUAGGAUCGACGUAAUGAUUAAUAGGGAUAGUUGGGGGCAUUAGUAUUCAAUUGUCAGAGGUGAAAUUCUUGGAUUUAUUGAAGACUAACUACUGCGAAAGCAUUUGCCAAGGAUGUUUUCAUUAAUCAAGAACGAAAGUUAGGGGAUCGAAGACGAUCAGAUACCGUCGUAGUCUUAACCAUAAACUAUGCCGACUAGGGAUCGGAUGAUGUUAUUUUUAAUGACUCAUUCGGCGCCUUACG
rnacentral:rRNA from 1 species